rnacentral:rRNA from 1 species
GCCUACGACCAUAUCACCCUGAAUGCGCCCAAUCUCGUCUGAUCUCGGAAGCUAAGCAUGGUCGAGCCUGGUUAGUACUUGGAUGGGAGACUGCCUAGGAAUACCAGGUGUUGUAGGCU